rnacentral:rRNA from 1 species
UACCGGCAGCUCGAGUGAUGACCGAUCUUAUUGGGCCUAAAGCGUCCGUAGCUGGCCGCGCAAGUCCAUCGGGAAAUCCACCCGCUUAACGGGUGGGCGUCCGGUGGAAACUGCACGGCUUGGGACAGGAAGGCUCGAGGGGUACGUUCGGGGUAGGAGUGAAAUCCCGUAAUCCUGAACGGACCGCCGAUGGCGAAAGCACCUCGAGAGGACUGAUCCGACAGUGAGGGACGAAAGCUGGGGUCUCGAACCGG